rnacentral:rRNA from 1 species
GAUGAACGCUAGCUACAGGCUUAACACAUGCAAGUCGAGGGACCGGCGCACGGGUGAGUAACACGUAUCCAACCUGCCCUUUACACGGGGAUAGCCUUUCGAACAAAAGCUUAAUACCCGAUAUCAAGGAUGGGGCUGCGUUCCAUUCGGUUGUUGGUGAGGUAACGGCGCACCAAGCCUUAGAUGGAUAGGGGUUCUGAGAGGAAGGUCCCCUACAUUGGAACUGAGACACGGUCCAAACUCCUACGGGCGGCAGCAGUGAGGAAUAUUGGUCACUGGGCGCUAGCCUGAAGCAGCCAAAUAGCGUGAAGGAUGAAUGCUUAUGGGUCGUAAACUUCUUUUAUAUAAGAAUAGGUAUUAUAUGAAUAAGGAUCGGCUAACUUCGUGCCAGCCGCCGCGGUAAUUC